GUGGGGAAUCUUAGACAAUGGGGGCAACCCUGAUCUAGCCAUGCCGCGUGAGUGAUGAAGGCCUUAGGGUUGUAAAGCUCUUUCAGUGGGGAAGAUAAUGACGGUACCCACAGAAGAAGCCCCGGCUAACUCCGUGCCAGCAGCCGCGGUAAUACGGAGGGGGCUAGCGUUGUUCGGAAUUACUGGGCGUAAAGCGCACGUAGGCGGAUCGGAAAGUUGGGGGUGAAAUCCCAGGGCUCAACCCUGGAACUGCCUUCAAAACUAUCGGUCUGGAGUCCGAGAGAGGGGAGGGGAAUUCCGAGUGUAGAGGUGAAAUUCGUAGAUAUUCGGAGGAACACCAGUGGCGAAGGCGGCUCACUGGCUCGGUACUGACGCUGAGGUGCGAAAGCGUGGGGAGCAAACAGGAUUAGAUACCCCAGUAGUCC
rnacentral:rRNA from 1 species